CUUGAUAUAUUCCAGCUUGUAAUCUACUCUUAAACUAUAAAAUUCAGUAAGUGCAAUUUUCUGCCACUUUAACACUUUUGGUGUUGCAAUGCGGUAUAAUACACCUAAAUAGAAUUAACUAGACUGGGAGUGGGAAGACGUAUACAAAAUGGGGACCAGCCAACGCCCUGUUGGAAGAUAACUUAUCAAGUGAUCAACAAGGCUUGAUAAACCACGUGUUUUCCAGCACCUUUUUAUACGAAUUGAACAGGUGAUCUUCUUUUGUCUUGUUCAGCUUGUGAUAUAUUGUUGCAUGUGGAAAUUAUACUCACACAUAUAAACAUAUCACUGAUUUAUUGGAUCCAAAUCAAAGAAAAAUACAGGUAAAAAUUAAAUGGAAUACAUAGUACUGAACCCCAUCACCCUUGAUUUUAUUUAUGUAAUCAUUUCUCAAAUCUGGGCUUCCUUUAAGAUACAAGAAGAUAUAAAAACAGUUGUUUAUGUCUGAAAACUUGACAGAGGAAUGUGUUUCUACUAUGGUCUAUGAAGGAUGUGAAGCAUCUUUUAUUACAGGGAUUGUCAAAUAGGAGGACUGGUGCAACAAGUAUAAAUGCUGAGAUUUCAUGUUCACAUAGUGUAUUUACAUUGUGGUAGAAUCACGAUGCAAGGAAGAAAUGACCGAGCAAUGAGCAAACAAGCAUGAAAAGGUGUUAAUCUUUGGAGAAAACGGGGCUUUAAAGCAUAAGGAAAACACCCAAGGGGACACCGGAGAACAAAGGAGCAGAACGAAGGCGUGGAGGUCAAUUUGAAGAACUCACCUGACACUCACACCGUGAGUGUCAGCGUGAGUCCUCAGUGUGGUUUCUGAUCAGAAACUCACGUUGAGACUCACGUGUGAGUCUCAGCGUGAGUGCUGAUCAGAAACUGAUCAUUGAACUCACACUGACACUCACACCGUGAGUGUCAGCGUGAGUCCCACCGUGACUUCCUAUCCUGGAGGCUACGAAAUGGCGCAAAUUUUAGACUAUAAA